CUAAAGAGGAGGAGCAAGAGUAAUAGAGAAAGAAGAGGAAAUAGCGCAGCAUAGUCAGUUGGAAGGAAAUCGUACAACUUCGGAUAUACUGCUUCACUUCGACUUUUUACUCUGAUGCAAAGAAAUGAAUUUCUCCAUGCAGCUACAAUUGAAGCGCCCUCCAACAGAAACACAUCCUAUAAUACAGUGUAUAAUUGACAACGAUCUUGAGGAGCUGAAAAAAUUACUUCAGGACAACAGCAUUGAUGAAGGUUAUCCAUGCAAAGAGUGCAAAGAUUAUAUAACACCACUGAUCGCUGCUGUUAUUAACCACAAGAGGAACAUUUGUACUUACCUUUUGCUGAGGGCUGCAGACCCAGAUGUUGCUUCCCCAAAUGGCUUUACACCUUUGCAUUAUGUCUCACUAUCAAAAGCACCACUUUAUUUUGUGAAAAAAUUGCUUGAAGCAAAAGCUCAUCCAAAUGUACAAAAUAUACAAGAAAUCACACCACUGCAUACUGCCGCCAUCGCAGACAGGGAAGAUGUCUUAAAAGCGCUCAUUGAUGCUGGUGCAGUGGUAACAGUGUUACCAAUCAUUUAUCCUGAAAGUAGCACUCACAAUAAACAACUAUCACAGAUGAUUCACAGCCUUGCAUCAAAAGGACAUCAUUUAUUCCAAGAAAUUGGUCAUUUUGUGGAGAUGGAACGUGCUUUGCAGAAGAAUCAACCUGAAGAAGUGUUCAAAACCUUUGACAGUCACAUGCUGCUGGAGCAUCCUCAAACCCAUCUGACCAUGAUUGAGAUACUUUUUAAUGUAAGUGGACCAAAUGAGGAAAAGUACCGCCAGGGAAGUAUCAAAUGGCUGAAGGACACUGGAAGUGUGGACACCUACAUUGCAGGUGUCAUCAAGCGCCUUCCAAACAUUUUGCAGGGUUGUGCACUUCAAGCAAUUUUUUGUUUGUAUGCAGUUUUGUGUACUGUUGAAGAGAUAACAAAUGAGCAAGCAUGUACCAUGAUCCACCAACUACUGGAACAGCUUGGCUCAGAAAACAGACCUGAUAGUAAUGUUGUACUUAUUUUGCAAACACUUUAUGUGAUAACACAGAAAACAGAAGGCAUACACGGCUGGGAGCCCAAGUUUAUUGUGAAGUUUUGUGGAAAAAUAGUUCCCUUUGUGCAUGAAAAACACUCCGCUGAAACGAGAGCCUUCACAUACGGCAUAUUUGGAAACUUGGUCCUAGUCAAAGAUGCAGUUAACAUCAUAAAAUCAGCAGGGAUAACUUCAGUGCCUGAUGACGUACUGACAUCUGCAGACAUGAAUAUGCUAAAAGAUCUUAAAGAAGUGCUCAGACGAUUGAAUAAUAAUCUGAGCAAAUUAAACUCAGAAAGUGAAGACUUACCUGGAUCCAAGAAAAAGAAGAAGAAGAAGAAGAAGAAAAAGAAGGAAGAAGAAAAGCAAGGAGCCCCAAAUGAUGCAAAUGCCCCAAAUGAAGGAGCAGCAGCUGAGCGACACCACGUCAACACCACUGUUACAUCAAUAAAAGACAGAUGGCUUCCAGUCAGCGAGAGAUGGAGAGUAAAAUUAGAGAAGCUCUUGAGCUCUGAUGGAAGUAAAGUAAUCAGAAUUGGGAGCAUGAUUUAUGUGAAUGAAGAAGAAUUUCACAUAGCGAAGGGAAGUGAUGGUACAGAAGUCUUCUUGGGGUUCAGAGAUGAUGGCACUGAAGUUGCUAUCAAAAGAAUAUCUGAACGCAACUAUCGUGAGCUGAAGAAUGAGAAAGGAUUUCUACGACUUCCAGAGCUUGAUCAUCGAUUUAUCGUACGAUACAUUGAUUUUGCAGAGGAUGACAACUUUGGAUAUCUUGGUCUUCAACUUUGUGAAUACACCCUGGAAGAAUACAUCACUGACAAUAAAGAGGGUGGUCUGGAGAUGAAGAAGAGACUUGUCUCUAUGUUCCUCGAGGGUUUAAGCGUGCUUCAUUGUCAAAACUCUCCAAUUCUCCACCGGGAUCUCAAACCACAGAAUGUUUUUAUUGACGUUAAUAGGAGGGCAAGAUUAGCUGAUUUUGGCAUCUGUAGACGGGUACCCAAAGGCCAAACAACUUACUGUACACGUGCUGCUGGAACGAAGUGCUGGAAGGCCAAGGAGACCUUAGAAGAAGACACUGACAUACAUUACAAGUCCAACACUGAUGUCCAAGCAAGUUUUAUCACUCAAACGUUAUUGAUGACUUCUUGAAAAAUGGCUUUCUGAAAUGAGUCUGUUUAUUCUUAAGGUGGCAGGGAUGCUGAUAUAUUAUAUCCUCUCUGGGGGACACCAUCCUUUUGGCGACAAAGCCUACGAGUGUGAGUACAACAUUCACAAGGGGAAGUACACGUUGGACCAUGUUCAAGAUGUGGUGGCAAAGGAUCUCAUUGAGUGGAUGAUCAACGAAGAACCAAAGAAGAGACCUAAAGUUGAAGAAUGCUUGAGUCAUCCUUUCUUUUGGCACCCAGACAAGAGAGUAGACUAUUUGAAAAAGGUUGGAAACAUCAAUGAAGUGAAAAACUACAAAAAUGCUGAUCCAGAAUUAAUUUCUUCACUGGAAAAACAUGCUGGAGAGGGAUCCUACAAACAGUGGAAACAUCAGUUUCCAGAAGAGCUGGUCCAGAGAGUGGAGGGUAAGAAGAAAUUCUACUCUGAAGACAUUCUGGGACUGCUGCGCUUCAUUCGGAACCUCCAUGAGCACUAUGAAGAGGAUGCCGCCAAUCUUGAUCUGCUGUCGAUGUUUCCUGAUCUGUUUGGAGGUGUUUAUAUAUCUGCAAAAAGCCAAGGGUGGAACACGAAACCUUCCCUUAAAAAAUUCUUUAGAACAGAAGAGUUUCCCAGAGACAACAUCACCAGCAGAUCUGCAGCGCCACCCACAAAUCCUGAUCAACAUGUCAGUUGCCCAAUUCAAGAAACUCAACAAGUAUCCACAAAGCCAUCUUAAAAAGUGACACUAGGCUCAUCUUCCUCGUGAUUCCAAUUUAUCAAGGAUAAAGUGGUCACCAAGUGGUUUUGAAAAGAACUGUUGCCUUUAGCAAUAAAACCUGUUGUUGGAAGGUUUUCAAUCAUCACAGCAAAUCCCACACGGUAUGUUUUUGUUUUUUAAAGUGUUCCUUAUUAUAGGGCCUCCUUUUGGGUGACUGUCUUUGAAAUAAUGCCACUUGACAAACCACCCAGCCCAAAGUGAGGGCCUGCAUUUGCUGAUAGACAUGUUUAUCUAGAUGACCGUUUUUUUCAUCUAUAUGUUUUGUUGAUCUACUUUUUUUGCAAACCUCUGGAUGUCAGAGGAUUGGCUCUUAUCUAAUAAGUAAUAAGAAGUGUAUAUUUUUCACAUGGAAACACACAAGCAAUGUCAUUGUAAAAAGUUGUUAUUUUAAUUAGUCUAUGAAAAGAGGUCAUGGUAAAUAUUUCCCCAGCAUAGACCAAUUAUUUUCAGUGGAGUGUGUCCUGUCCUCUAAUAUGACAACUGGACGGGUAUGAUGUCACCAUACACAAGACUUUACAAGGAAUGCAAAUCACGUCUUGACUAUGUAUUAAGAAUAAAUGCAUUAUGCUGUAAGUCCAGCCAUGUUGGAAUUUAGGCCUGAUAAUUUUACCACGGGCUGGAAAAGGGACUUCUUAUUUUGUUUUUGUAUUUUGUCUCAGUCUUCUGACUUUUUUUAAAAUUUUACGUUUAAAGACAUUUGCAUUUUUUAUAAAAUAUUGUAAAUCACUGUAUGUGUUAUUUUGUUUCUAUUUUACAAAACUAAAAACUCAAUACAUUUUUCAAAGAAAUAAAGGGCCCCUAUUUAGGGUUAAGACUUUUUCUGUGCGGGCUUGAUCACAUCUCUUUUUGUAUUGUCACUUUGGAAAAGUGAAUUGCUUGAAGCCACAUGACUAAUCACUCCGCCUACAUAUGUGAGGGGGCUCCGUUGGCUGAUUUGUGUUUGUAUACGACUCUUUUAUAAAUACAUUUUGAAUACUUUUAUACUUUUUUGCUUCAUACUCAUCUUCUGUAAUUGAUUUUUGUUACAUGUUGUAUAACAAUCCUGAUAAAAGCCAUGGGCAAGAACUUGAUUUUCAAACAGUAAAGUUUGUCUUUCUACCAUACAUGAUUUUAUGAAAUGUGCUAUAUAAAUGAAGUUUGAUUGAUAUCCUACAA